rnacentral:rRNA from 1 species
UACAGAGGGGGCAAGCGUUGUUCGGAAUUACUGGGCAUAAAGGGCGCGUAGGCGGCCUGCUAAGUCGAACGUGAAAUCCCUGGGCUCAACCCAGGAACUGCGUCCGAUACUGGUUGGCUUGAAUCCGGGAGAGGGACGUGGAAUUCCAGGUGUAGCGGUGAAAUGCGUAGAUAUCUGGAGGAACACCGGUGGCGAAGGCGACGUCCUGGACCGGCAUUGACGCUGAGGCGCGAAAGCCAGGGGAGCAAAGCGGG